rnacentral:rRNA from 1 species
GAUGAACGCUGGCGGCGUGCUUAACACAUGCAAGUCGAACGGUGAAGGCGGAGCUUGCUCUGCUGGAUCAGUGGCGAACGGGUGAGUAACACGUGAGCAAUCUGCCCCUGACUCUGGGAUAAGCGCUGGAAACGGCGUCUAAUACUGGAUACGAGCUGCGAAGGCAUCUUCAGCAGCUGGAAAGAACUUCGGUCAGGGAUGAGCUCGCGGCCUAUCAGCUUGUUGGUGAGGUAACGGCUCACCAAGGCGUCGACGGGUAGCCGGCCUGAGAGGGUGACCGGCCACACUGGGACUGAGACACGACCCAGACUCCUACGGGAGGCAGCAGUGGGGAAUAUUGCACAAUGGGCGAAAGCCUGAUGCAGCAACGCCGCGUGAGGGACGACGGCCUUCGGGUUGUAAACCUCUUUUAGCAGGGAAGAAGCGAAAGUGACGGUACCUGCAGAAAAAGCGCCGGCUAACUACGUG